AUUGAACGCUGGCGGCAUGCUUUACACAUGCAAGUCGAACGGUAACAGGCCUUCGGGUGCUGACGAGUGGCGAACGGGUGAGUAAUGCAUCGGAACGUACCCAGAGGUGGGGGAUAACGCAGCGAAAGCUGUGCUAAUACCGCAUGUGAUCUGAGGAUGAAAGCGGGGGACCGAGCAGCAAUGUUUGGCCUCGCGCCUUUGGAGCGGCCGAUGUCGGAUUAGCUAGUUGGUGGGGUAAAGGCCUACCAAGGCGACGAUCCGUAGCUGGUCUGAGAGGACGACCAGGCAACCGGGGGCUUGAGCCAGGCCCCAGACCCCACCGGGGGCAGGCAGGGGGGAUUUUGGGACAAGGGGGCCAGCCUUGCCCCAGCAGGGCGGCGGGGGGGAAAAGGGCCUGCGGUUUUAAACCCGUUUUGGGCGGGAACGAAGGGGUGCCCGCUAAUCCCGGGCGAUAAGCAGGUCACCUGAAAAAAAAGCCCCGCCAAACUCCGUC
rnacentral:rRNA from 1 species